UUUUAAUAAUGCAUGUGCAUGUGUGUGUGCGUCUGACCGUGUGCUCCUGUCUUCCUCUCUGCAGUCAUCCUCCCCGCGCCGGCCUUUGACAAGGACCAACUCUGCGGAGCGUUCACGUCCAUCCACCUGAUCGCCACCGGGGUGUCCUGCUUCAUGGGCGCCGGUCUUUUGUCCUUCCUGGUCUACGUGUACUGUCAACGCUUCCACAAGCCGUCGCAAGAGUCGGCCGUCAUCCAUCCGACCACGCCCAACCACCUCAACUACAAGGGCAACGCCACGCC